rnacentral:rRNA from 1 species
CUACGGGUUGCACCAGUGAGGAAUUUUGCGCAAUGGGCGAAAGCCUGACGCAGCAACGCCGCGUGAGUGAUGAAGGCCUUCGGGUCGUAAAGCUCUGUCAAGUGGGAAGAACCUAUGUAAUGUUAAUAUCAUUAUAUACUGACGGUACCACUGAAGGAAGCACCGGCUAACUCCGUGCCAGCAGCCGCGGUAAUACGGGGGGUGCAAGCGUUAUUCGGAAUCAUUGGGCGUAAAGGGCACGUAGGCGGCCUGGUAAGUCAGAUGUGAAAGCCCGGGGCUUAACCCCGGAAGUGCAUUUGAUACUGUCAGGCUUGAUUAUGGGAGAGGGAAGUGGAAUUCCUGGUGUAGAGGUGAAAUUCGUAGAUAUCAGGAGGAACACCGGUGGCGAAGGCGACUUCCUGGACCAAUACUGACGCUGAGGUGCGAAGGCGUGGGUAGCAAACAGGAUUAGAUACCCCGGUAGUC